rnacentral:rRNA from 1 species
GAUGAACGCUGGCGGCGUGCUUAACACAUGCAAGUCGAACGAACCUUCGGGUUAGUGGCGGACGGGUGAGUAACGCGUGAGAAUCUGCCCUCAGGAGGGGGAUAACGGCUGGAAACGGCCGCUAAUACCCCAUAUGCCGCGAGGUGAAACGAGUUUUCGCCUGAGGAUGAGCUCGCGUCUGAUUAGCUAGUUGGUGGGGUAAAGGCCUACCAAGGCGACGAUCAGUAGCUGGUCUGAGAGGAUGAUCAGCCACACUGGGACUGAGACACGGCCCAGACUCCUACGGGAGGCAGCAGUGGGGAAUUUUCCGCAAUGGGCGAAAGCCUGACGGAGCAACGCCGCGUGAGGGAUGAAGGCCUCUGGGCUGUAAACCUCUUUUUUCAAGGAAGAAGAUCUGACGGUACUUGAAGAAUAAGCCACGGCUAAUUCCGUG